UACAGAGGGUGCAAGCGUUAAUCGGAUUUACUGGGCGUAAAGGGUGCGUAGGUGGUUAUUUAAGUGAGAUGUGAAAGCCCCGGGCUCAACCUGGGAACUGCAUCUUAUACUGGAUAGCUGGAGUGAAGUAGAGGGUAGUGGAAUUUCCGGUGUAGCGGUGAAAUGCGUAGAUAUCGGAAGGAACACCAGUGGCGAAGGCGGCUACCUGGACUUAUACUGACACUGAGGCACGAGAGCGUGGGGAGCAAACAGG
rnacentral:rRNA from 1 species